rnacentral:rRNA from 1 species
CAAUAGCGUAUAUUUAAGUUGUUGCAGCUAAAAAGCUCGUAGUUGGAUUUCGGAUGGGAUUUGCCGGUCCGUCGUUACGAUGUGCACUGGCCAGUCCUAUCUUGUUGUCGGGGACUAGCUCCUUGGAUUCACUUCCUGGGACUAGGAGCUGACGAGGUUACUUUGAGUAAAUUAGAGUGUUCAAAGCAAGCCUACGCUCUGAAUACAUUAGCAUGGAAUAACGCGAUAGGACUCUGGCUUAUCUUGUUGGUCUGUGAGACCAGAGUAAUGAUUAAGAGGGACAGUCGGGGACAUUCGUAUUUCAUUGUCAGAGGUGAAAUUCUUGGAUUUAUGAAAGACGAACUUCUGCGAAAGCAUUUGUCAAGGAUGUUUUCAUUAA